rfam:Salmo salar isolate Sally breed double haploid chromosome ssa25, whole genome shotgun sequence.
UGGCUCAGUUGGUAGAGCAUGGUGUGUGCAACGCCAGGGUUGUGGGUUCAAUUCCCAC